UUUAGUUCUCCCAAAAUGUCCACAGGUACUCAAGCUGCAACACAUGUGAGAUAUAGCAAAGGAGUCCGAGUGGAUGGUGGAGAGAAAAGCCAAGUGGAGAUUCAAGAACAUGAAGACUGCUCCAUCAGUCCUGGGUUACAGGAAACUGGUCAACACACUCAAAUGAACCAUUCAUCUGCCAAAAGGAGCCAUUUCAGAGUCAUUGCAGCAACUCUGGGAGCUUUUUUUGUCUUGAUGUUGACUGUAAUUGUCAGUCGCGGUAUCACAGCAACCUUGCAGUCAGAGCAGACCAGUACUUUACAUAGCCAUCUUACAACGGAAACUACACACGAGAAAGUUAAUGCCCAGCCACCGACAGACAACCCAAGUACAACUUCCAUUCCAUUUUCACAGGAUGUAAACAACAGAGCAACACAAAAAACAAAUGAGAAAGUCAAUUUUAAUUCACCUGAGAAGAUGAUGACGACACAAAGUGCAACUCAGAAAGCAAAGAUGAAGACAACACAAAGUACAACAGAGAAAGCAAAGAUGAAGACAACACAAAGUACGAC
ensembl:lncRNA